rnacentral:rRNA from 1 species
UACGUAGGUGGCAAGCGUUAAUCGGAAUUACUGGGCGUAAGCGCACGUAGGCUGUUUUGUAAGUCAGGGGUGAAAGCCCACGACUCAACCGUGGAAUUGCCUUUGAUACUGCGAGACUUGAAUUCGGGAGAGGAUGGCGGAAUUCCAGGUGUAGGAGUGAAAUCCGUAGAUAUCUGGAGGAACAUCAGUGGCGAAGGCAGCCAUCUGGAUCGAUACUGACGCUGAGGUGCGAAAGCGUGGGGAGCAAACA